rnacentral:rRNA from 1 species
UACGUAGGGACCAAGCGUUGUUCGGAUUUACUGGGCGUAAAGGGCGCGUAGGCGGCAACUCAAGUCAGCUGUGAAAUCUCCGGGCUUAACUCGGAACGGUCAGCUGAUACUGUUUUGCUAGAGUGCAGAAGGGGCAAUCGGAAUUCUUGGUGUAGCGGUGAAAUGCGUAGAUAUCAGGAGGAACACCUGCGGUGUAGACGGCUUACUGGACCAUAACUGACGCUGAGGCACGAAAGCGUGGGUAGCAAACAGG